UGUGGGAGCGGGCUUGCUCGCGAUUCAGGCGACCCGGUUUUUCAGUUGCACCGCUGCGAUCCCAUCGCGAGCAAGCCCGCUCCCACA
rnacentral:misc_RNA from 1 species